GUGCUUGCCUCGGCAGCACAUACACUGAUAUCGGAACGACAGGAGUAGACUGGCACGGCCCCUGCACAAGGAUGACAGGCAAACUCAUGAAGCGUUCCAUAUUUUC
ensembl:snRNA U6 U6 spliceosomal RNA